CGAGACAGGGUUUCUCUGUGUAGCCCUGACUGUCCUAGAACUGGCUCUGUAGACCAGGCUGGCCUCCAACUCAGAGAGAUUCGCCUCCCUCUGCUUCCUGUGUGCUGGGAUUAAAGGCUUAAGAGCCACCAUCACCUGGUUUAAAAGAAAGUUUUUUAAAUCAAGAACUCUAGAUCUAAAUCUAGGCUGGGGCCUCUAGUAUGAACAAAAAUCUACCUUUAUUCAUUUCUUAAUUAAAUAGAUCAUAGAACUUUCUCUUUCUUAAGACAGAAGUGAAGGGCAGGCAGUGGGCCCCAAAAGAAAUCAGGAGCCCUGCUCUCAGAGAAACCAGGAGCCCUGGGUCUCUUUGAGAUUUUCACUAAAUCCCACUCCCAGGUAAGCUGCUCAGUCUCUCUGGCCUCAGUCUCUUCAAGUCCAUACACAGGAAGGAAGCUAAACCAGCAUGAGUGUUUCCACCCCUAACAUUUUAAAGCAGACAUCUAUACUCAGUGGAGAAGAAAUUAAAGGUGUUAAUGAGAAAAAGAUGAUUCAUUGAAUUCUGGACCCAGAAUCUGCCUGGCUCAGAGAGUUAACCUUAUCAGUCUCAGUUUAUUAAGGGGUAGGAGGCUUGGUGGGUAGAACUACAGCCACCUAAAUGAAAUCAAGCUGGUACUAAAUGAAUGUUGCUGAGGUGUGAUCUAUCCAGAGAGUUAAGCAACUUACUAGCAGCCUGAAAUCACAUUACCAAAACUGUGUUGUUGCAAAAACUUAACUUUCCCUCAGCUGUGAUUUGAAGAGAGGGUGCAGAGCUGAGAAUACUUUGUCUGUGGCCAUCUGUCCCAUUCUAGUCUCCAGAGAGGCAUGAGGGGGAGUGUGAAAAGCCACCAGGUGCUGUGUAAAUUCAGCCACCAAUGUCACAUAUCCAUCAUGAACCCAGCAUUUACAGGUUGCUAGGGAUAAGCAGAAAGCAUGGAAUUAUAAAAAGGCUAGCCAAUCCAUCCAAGCCUUCCAGGCUUUCCCUGAGCCUCCCUCCAUGCCAGGCACAGGGCUGAGGACACAGCAUAAAAUAGUGUAGAUGUCCAUACCAGUACAUGCUUGUUAAAUGUUUCCCCCUCUGGGCUGGGAAGGAGCUGUCUGCUGUAGAGCAGCAAAGAGAACUGCAGGCCCUUUCAGUGGCCUGUAUGACAUGCAUAAGUCCUGUAACAAAAACUGCUUCCCCGGGCUGGAGAGAUGGCUCAGUGAUUAAGAAUACUGAACUGCUCUUCUAGAGGUCCUGAGUUCAAUUCCCAGCAACCACAUGGUGUCUCACAACCAUCUGUAAUGGGGAACAAUGCCCCUUUCUGGUGUGUCUGAAGAUAGCUACAGUGUACUCACACACAUUAAAUAAGUAAAUAAAUAAUUCAAUUAAAAACAAAAAAACAAACCUGCUUUCCUGUCCAUCAAGUAGAAACAGCACCAGCACGCCAUAGGAUUCCACAAGGGAAUAAACAAAUAUGACAACAAGAGCAAGCACACUGAGCCUAACAGCACAAAUGCUAUAUAAGCCAAAAUAACCAAGUGCUAAAGUCAAAGUUAAACACCACAGAAGCUAACAGAGCUGCUCCUACAUCAGCACAACUUCCAAAUCAGAUCCCAGGGACGUCAGUCCCAAAGGCCCAAGUGUGAAAGGUGUAGCCUCACCCUGUGAUACUACUGGCAGGAGAUGGGAGUGGGGUGGGGUGGACAGCUAGGUACAAACCCAUGUCACCUUUUCUCUUUUGUAUUUUUGGUAACGAAGAGAACAAUUUUACUCUGUCAUGUGCCACCAUCUCCAUGUACUGUCUCCCCAAGGCCCAAAAUAACAGCAGCAAUCAAUGGACUGGAACCUCAACACGUAAGCCUCUCUCCAUCCUUCUCUCCUCUCUCCUCUCCCUGCUUCCUUUUCCCUCUUUUCUCCUGUUGUAGGAGGAGGGGUCAGCCCAGGCUGACCUCAAUCUCUCAGCUCUUCUGACUCCUGAAGACCCGCUCUCCUUUUUUCUCUAUGAGCUGAUUUCCUCAGAAUUGUUACAGUGAAGGAAACGGACACAAACAAUAGGAAAUGUGUUAUGCACUGGGGGCAAAGAAGACAGGCCUGCCCUAGCUCAGCAGGUAAAGGUGCUUGCUGCGAAGUCUAUCCAUCUGAGUUCCAUCCUUGGAAUCUAGAUGGUGGAGGGAAAGAACUGUCCUCUGACCUAUAUACACACUGUGGGUAACAUGCAACUGUACAUAUGCACAUACAUGUACAUACACAUGCACAAAUAAAUAUAAUUUGUUUUUGUUUUUAAGCUGAUGAUCUAGAGCCAGUGAGAUGGCUCAGUGGGUAAAAGCACUUAUCGUGCAAGUUAAUAACCUGAGUUCAGGCCUCAGAACCCACAAAAAGGUGUACACAAUAGUUUGUAUCUGUAAUCUCAGCACUCCUACUAUGAGAUCGGAGGCAGAGACAAAAAAAAAAAAAAAAAA
rnacentral:lncRNA from 1 species